UACAGAGGGUGCGAGCGUUAAUCGGAAUUACUGGGCGUAAAGGGCGCGUAGGCGGUAGAUUAAGUGAGAUGUGAAAUCCCAAGGCUCAACCUUGGAACUGCCUUUGAUACUGGGGAUCUUGAGUCCGGGAGAGGUGAGUGGAACUGCGAGUGUAGAGGUGAAAUUCGUAGAUAUUCGCAAGAACACCAGUGGCGAAGGCGGCUCACUGGCCCGGAACUGACGCUGAGGCACGAAAGCGUGGGGAGCAAACAGG
rnacentral:rRNA from 1 species